ensembl:lncRNA
UAAAUAGUUACAUGAAUUUUACACAUGAGGAACUGUGACCCUGAGAGAUUGUGAAUUUUAAAAGUCUCCAUUUUGGUCUAGCACCCAAAAAAUUGUGCACACCCACACUACACGGGCAUGCGCUAGUCAAUGACAAAUCAGAAAUAACUAACUGCCCACCUGGGCUGUCCUAAGCCAAGCUAGAGCCAACCAUUGGAUUUGUGAGACACAGGAAGUGAGGUAGGGAACAGCCUCUGAGAUUCGCGGGACUUCCUGUGGGGAGAGCGAGAGGGGGUUGGUGUUAGGAGCUUGGAGAGGGAGGACGCCCGCAGACAGCUUUCCUUCAGAUGGGUCACGUGAGUUAAGGACUGAUUCUUUCCACCUGGGCCUUUGGGCCUAAAACUCCCCCUGCCUUGGUCAGAGGUUGAGUAGCCCCUUUCCCUUUUCUCUUCUCUCCUUCUCUCCCUAACCUUUUCCCUACUCCCAGUGUGAUUAAACCGCCAUAAACCUCAUUCUGACUUGAGUGUUUCAUUUUAGGAAUUUCAUAAGUAAAUUCCUUGGCGGCCAUUGUUAAAUAUUAUAUAAAUCUUGUAGCCACAUUUGUAACCAUUACUAUAUUAUAACCUUCUCCCAGAAGCCUUAAAUUUCCCCAUUACAGUUUUGGCUAACCACUACUGGAAAAAAGAACCUUAUCAGUCUUCUGAUCUCCUUACUAUCACCUGGGAGAAAUCCCACCCCGGCUACCCCCUCUGGCUCUUGGCCCUGCCUUAGUGCUUGGAAGGUUUCUAGAACCUCAAUAAAUUUCCUGAAUUUUCUUGCCUUUUCAACCCACUUAUUGCUCACUCCCUCAGUCCUGUUACCAAAUACCUUGGCUUAAAGACACAGCUGCCAGAACAGAAUUCCCUGGUGGACAGCCGAGAGCUUGUUGACUGCCCUGUGGUAUGUGAGCAAUUUGGAUCAAGUGUUAAAACCCAAGGCUGAGACAGACGGACGAACAGACAUCUGGCUCUUGCGAACAGUGCUAUUGACACAGCACAGUGACCCUGCUCCUUCUGCCAGGUCUUUCUUUCACACAAGGCCAUUUGUUUUCCUCUCAGUCCCCAUGGUGGUAUGGCUUUUUAUUGCAGAAUUAGCAGGCCAAGGUUACAGCUGUGUUGGCUUUCCAGGAGGAAUCAGCAGCCAAAUGAGGAAAAGUAAUCCUUGGAGUUGCAGCUGUCUCACAGUCAACUGAAGUGAGGAGCCCGAGAAGAAUAAGCAAGUGAGUGGGUGCAGAGAGGAGAAAAAUCAGAUUUGACUCUCUCGUGCCCCAAACACUCCCUACCUUUGCUUCCUUCCUCCAGCCUGGCAGCAAACACCAUCACUUAGUGAAGCAUCUGUCUUCUUCCAGGGAAAGGAAAACAUGUUUUCCCAGUAAAUAUUUAGAGAGUGUUUCCUGCUUGCAGAACCACUGAGGAUGGGUGUUUGUAUGUAGUUCUGUCUCCUGUGGUCAACGAGGCAACCCCCCCCCCCCAAUUUUUAAACUGAAUGGCUUAUGUGUGUGAAGGAAGCCCCAAAAGUUGACAGAUGCCUGGCCGGCUCCCAUAUUGGUGAUGCCAAUAGCUUAAGCCUGGGAAUCGUUGUGUUCCAAGGAGUGAUUCAGAAGCCACAGAAGAACCUCUCUAAUGUAUGAGUAUGAAAAAAAAAAUGAUGAACUUCCCUGAUGAGGCAGAUUAACUUUGUGUAAUUCAAAUCAACUACUAUUUCUUAAUUUAAUUCAGCUUAAUUUAAUAAGCAUUUAUUAAACAUUUAGUAAUGACUAGUGAGAACAUUCUUGUUGUGCAACCAUUUAUGCCAGAUUGCUAGUGACCUGGUAGACUAUAUCAUACCAAUUCUGUCCAUGGUGUGUCCUUGGCAUUGGUUUUGGAGUUGUCUUCCAUUUCCUGUUCCAGUGAAUUAAAGCAAAUGGAGGUUUAUGUGACUUGAAAAGGGUUACACAACUAAUAAAUGUCUGAAGUUGGAUCUGAACUCA